UUUGGUUAAGUUAGAAAGGGCGCACGGUGGAUGCCUUGACACUAGGAGUCGAUGAAGGACGGGACUAACGCCGAUAUGCUUCGGGGAGCUGUAAGUAAGCUUUGAUCCGAAGAUUUCCGAAUGGGGAAACCCACCAUACGUAAUGGUAUGGUAUCCUUAUCUGAAUACAUAGGGUAAGGAAGACAGACCCAGGGAACUGAAACAUCUAAGUACCUGGAGGAAGAGAAAGCAAAUGCGAUUUCCUGAGUAGCGGCGAGCGAAACGGAACAUAGCCCAAACCAAGAGGCUUGCCUCUUGGGGUUGUAGGACAUUCUAUACGGAGUUACAAAGGAACGAGGUAGACGAAGCGACCUGGAAAGGUCCGUCGUAGAGGGUAACAACCCCGUAGUCGAAACUUCGUUCUCUCUUGAAUGUAUCCUGAGUACGGCGGAACACGUGAAAUUCCGUCGGAAUCUGGGAGGACCAUCUCCCAAGGCUAAAUACUCCCUAGUGAUCGAUAGUGAACCAGUACCGUGAGGGAAAGGUGAAAAGCACCCCGGAAGGGGAGUGAAAGAGAUCCUGAAACCGUGUGCCUACAAAUAGUCAGAGCCCGUUAACGGGUGAUGG
rnacentral:rRNA from 1 species